rnacentral:rRNA from 1 species
AUACGGAGGGGGCUAGCGUUGUCCGGAAUUACUGGGCGUAAAGCGUACGUAGGCGGACUGAUCAGUUGGGGGUGAAAUCCCAGGGCUUAACCCUGGAACUGCCUUCAAUACUGUCAGUCUUGAGUUUGGGAGAGGUGAGUGGAAUUCCUAGUGUAGAGGUGAAAUUCAUAGAUAUUAGGAGGAACACCAGUGGCGAAGGCGGCUCACUGGCCCAUUACUGACGCUGAGGUACGAAAGCGUGGGGAGCAAACAGGAUUAGAAACCCUUGUAGUCC